AUUUCAAUAUAGAUUCAGUUUUAUGCUAUUAAGUUUACAUGCAAAUAAAUUUUGACGUUUGAUUUAUAGCAAUCAAUCAAUAAAGUAAGAGGAGGAUUUAAGGGAUGCAGGGUGCUAGCUCUUUUUAUGGUGCUCUAUGUAUUGUUAACAUUUUCUUGCCAAUGAGUCUUCUUAUUUUAGAAUUCUGGAUCUGCACCUGAAAAAUAUUAGUGUAUGAUUGAAGAGGGCAAACGAAUUACUAAAUGAACUGUGUUUUGUCUACUAAGAGCUCCAAAGAAAUGUUUUCUCUUUUAAAUCACUUUUCUUACUUUACCUAAUACAAGCAUUAAAUCAACUGUUUAAUGGCAUUUAAGAUAUUGAUACAAAUCAUUUCAUAUUGUAGGCACUAUUUUGAUGCCAACCACCCAUGAUAUAAACUGUUCAUGAAAUCACCCACAAUAUAUAAAUAUCAGUGUCUGCCAUCUCCAGCUGUUAAAGGGCUGUUCCAAAGUAUUUGUAUACCUAAAUUCACCAAUAAAAUAAAAUUUUGUUUGCUAGAAAUUUUUAGGAAUACAUGCAACCGCAAACAAUUAAUUAAUGAGUUCCUCUUAUCCCUAAAUUUUGGAACAACCAUUUGCUAUUGAUAAAUUUAUAAACCAGAGAUGCUUUCACAAGAGCCGUGAAACAGAUACCAUAAUAAUGUAUAUUUUAAAAUAUAAAAAUAUUCUCUCAGUAGACCAGUGUACAAUAUAUCAAGUUUUUAUAGUGCCUGAUAUCUGUACACUUUGACAAGAAGUCGUAAUGCUGUAAUGGGGAAUAAAUUCAGUGUGUAUUAUUAUUAUUUUAAAUUAAUUGUUUAUGUUUGUUUUAACAGUGUUCAUCUUGUUUUAAUUUUUGUUUGUAAAUUGCUAUUUAUUCAUGUAAAAAAUGUGUAGAAGGUUAUUACUUUAUAAUACUACAUUUCGUUAUCCUUCACAGAAUUUUUUUAAGCAUAUUCUUUUUUUGUGACAAGGGCUGUGGACUCAUUUCUAUUUGUUGGAAACCAAUUUUUGUUGGUACAGGGAAAUUAGAAUUUAAAUGUUCAAUAAAUUGCAAAUUCGCUGUAUAAUAAUAUGCAGACUUUUUUACAACAUUAAAUCAAAUAUAAUCGGAAAUGCAAGUUUUCCUGAAUCCAUGAAAAUAAAUGAAUCCACUCCACUUAAAAUCAAAUAUAUAGGUAUAAAGCCUACAUAUAACUGCUUUGAAUAUUUUAUUCAGAAUACAAAAAAAAUCAAAAUUGACCUAUAAUAUUGCUUUAACUAUGCCAGAAUAAAAACCUCUAUGAAAAUGGGAGAUAACUUCAGUGUUAUUUUUCAUUAACAUGUAUAAUGAGAAAAACCAUCAUCAAUUUUAUUCAUAUGAAUCAUCUGUUCUGUAAUGACAUAAUUUUUACAUGGACUGAAAAUUAUAAAUAUUAAUAGCAUUUUUACAGAAAAGUAAAUUACAGAUGCAGGUUUCAUGUUGAAUACAAAGUAAUGAUAAACAGAAGGAAUCUCACUUAUUAGGUGUCAAUAUUUUUUAUAUAUUGAAACCCCUAUAUUAUGUACUUUGCAUGAAAUUGCUUUUC
rnacentral:lncRNA from 1 species